rnacentral:rRNA from 1 species
AGCGAACGCUGGCGGCAGGCCUAACACAUGCAAGUCGAACGAACCUUUCGGGGUUAGUGGCGGAUGGGUGAGUAACACGUGGGAACGUGCCUUUAGGUUCGGAAUAACUCAGGGAAACUUGUGCUAAUACCGAAUGUGCCCUUCGGGGGAAAGAUUAAUCGCCUUUAGAGCGGCCCGCGUCUGAUUAGCUAGUUGGUUGAGGUAAUGGCGCACCAAGGCGACGUUCAGUAGCUGGUCUGAGAGGAAGAUCCGACACAUUGGGACUGAGACACGGCCCAAAAUCCUACGGGAGGCGGCAGUGGGGAAUCUUGCGCAAUGGGCGAAAGCCUGACGCAGCCAUGCCGCGUGAAUGAUGAAGGUCUUAGGAUUGUAAAGUUCUUUCACCGGGGACGAUAAUGAUGGUACCCAGAGAAGAAGCCCCGGCUAACUUCGUG